GCUUGGGUGUGAUAGCACAUGCUUAUAAUCCCUGCUCCUAGGGAGGCUGGUUUUGGUGGAUUGCCAGAGCUCAGGCAUUUGGAGUUAUAACGGGCUGAGAUGAUGGGGUGUCUGCACUAAUCUGGCACCAAUAUGGUGAGCCCCUGGAAGCAGGGGGCCAUCAGGCUGCCCAAAGAGAAGAAAACCAGCCAAUGUUGGAAACGGAGAAGGCCAACACUUCCAUGCUGCCCAGGGCCAGUGCACUUCCAGUCCUGGUGAGAUGGGGAGACUCAGUCUCCA
rnacentral:SRP_RNA from 1 species